UCAUGUGGUCUGCAACUAGCUGCGU
rnacentral:misc_RNA from 1 species